rnacentral:rRNA from 1 species
AACGAACGCUGGCGGCAGGCCUAACACAUGCAAGUCGAGCGAGGACUUCGGAAGAGAGCGGCGGACGGGUGAGUAACGCGUGGGUAACCUGCCCUGUACACACGGAUAACAUACCGAAAGGUAUGCUAAUACGGGAUAACAUAUUUUGAUCGCAUGGUUGAAAUAUCAAAGCUCUGGCGGUACAGGAUGGACCCGCGUCUGAUUAGCUAGUUGGUGAGGUAAUGGCUCACCAAGGCGACGAUCAGUAGCCGACCUGAGAGGGUGAUCGGCCACAUUGGAACUGAGACACGGUCCAAACUCCUACGGGAGGCAGCAGUGGGGAAUAUUGCACAAUGGGCGAAAGCCUGAUGCAGCAACGCCGCGUGAGCGAUGAAGGCCUUUGGGUCGUAAAGCUCUGUCCUCAAGGAAGAUAAUGACGGUACUUGGGGAGGAAGCCCCGGCUAACUACGUGCCAGCCGCCGCCGUAAGAC